UAAAUUAUAGUUACCUAUAACUUGCUCCUUCUGAUGCAUUUUUCUUUGUAUUGUCUGUCAUAUUUAUCUAAUAUAUGAAUAACUUUCUGAUUGUAAUUGGCUCACAGUCCAGUUGGAAGGAUUGACAUUCAGUGUGAUUUCUUCUUUGAUUGGGAUAAGCAUCCGGUGCUAUGAGAAGACGGAGUAGGGAAACCAAACCUGGGUGGCUUCCCAAGGCGAUGUCAGCUAUGAGCCAUGUUAUUUGAAAGUAUGUGAAUUAUCCAGAGGAGAAGAAAGAUGGAUGGGGAGAGAUUUCUAGGGAACAUGUUCAAAGUCACAAAGGAAAAGAGAACAUGGACAAGGUAAGCAAACAUGGAUGAAAACUCUCCAGGGGGAGAAUUAUUAGGUGAAGACCAAGUGGGCACUGCUCCUAGCCAGUAUUUGCCUGAACACAUCGCUGGGCCUGCUUCACGUCGCUCCAGUACUCGUCUCCCGUCUCUCUCCAAGGAUGGCCUCCUCUUACUCACCUGCUUUGCAUAUUCUAAAAAUUCUUUGAGACUUGUCUCAGUGUCUUCCUCCUCCGGAGAUGAGCUUCUGAAGCUUUACAUUCUUAGAACUUUUAUUUGUGAUACUCAUAUAGCUCACGUAACACUUAUCUUACAUUGCCCUGUUCUUUCUUAACAUUCUAAUUAUAUUUCAAGCUCCUGGAGGGCACAGACCAUAUUUUCUAUCUACCAAAUCCCCGGGAGGGAUUUAAAAGAUCACUUAGAAAGGUGGUCCCUUAGCUGAUUAUCCAUAUCUUUUGGGAGCUUUUUAAAGAUAUGAAUUCUCAGGUCCCAUCUUAUAUGUAAUGAAUCAGAUGUUGUGUGUGUGUUUGUCUUUGUUUGCUGAGGGCAGAGUCAGGUAGAGGGAUGUGAAAAGAAGCUAUGUUUUUGGUUUUUUGGGGUUUUUUUUGAGGAAGAUUAGCUCUGAGCUAACAUCUGCUGCCAAUCCCCCUCUUUUUGCUGAGGAAGACUGGCCCUGAGAUAACAUCUGUGCCCAUCUUCCUCUAUUUUAUGAGGGACGCCAACCACAACAUGGCUUGACAAGCGGUGCAUGGGUCCACACCCAGGAUCUGAACCAGCGAACCCCAGGCCGCCGAAGCAGAACGUGUGAACUUAUCCGCUGCGCCACCGGGCUGGACCCCUAUGUUUUUGUUUUUUGUUCUACAAGACUUACUGUCUACAAAAACUGUCUACAAAAUAUAGCGCCUCCUACUGUAAGUACGUGGCACCUAUUAUACAGAGCUUACUUCCUUGUUCUUCAUUCAACAUAGGACCCUGAAGUUUCCAACGCUUUUCCAUGACCCUGAUUCAAAUUCAGAAAAGAGGGAUAAUUCUGUGCUCUUAGAAUGGACAGCAAGCCCAGCUCAGUGCUAUGUCAUUCUCCUGCAGACUUGCCUGCGUAUAGUCUUGGAGUUGUGCUCUGAUGGGUCUCCAGGAGUCUGCUCUGUAGGUCACAGGCUGGAGAACCGGGCUCCUGGAUUUCACUCUCUUCUUUCUAUAUGGAAGUUUAGGAGGACUACAGUAGGCCUGGAGACUCAGUUUAUUAUACUGCACAUCCAAAAUGUGCUUUGCUAAAUAAAUCUGAUAAAGCAUAUAGUUAGAAAAGAUAAUGUCCAACUAAAAAUAUCCACCUAAAAGAAAUAACUUUUUUUUUUCCUGCUGAAAUCUAAGGCAUAAUUUCAGCAUUUGGUGUCAGGAGUUACUCAGAAAAUACAAGUCAAACUUUUAUAAAGAAGGAUUUUUAUUCCUUUGUAAAUCUAGUGGAAAAUUAAUCAUACAAAAUAUGAUGGUGCCAAGAAAGCAUUUGCAAGAGCGCAGAUGCAUGAAUAUGAAACAUUACAUUUUCCAGGCAGUGCGUUUCCUUAUCGGAGCAAACUCCUCAUGACUAAAGUGAUCGUUACUCAACAGUGAUGGGUGACAAAGACUCACAUUUUCCUAUGUUUUAAUCAUUUCUUUGGAACUGACUGUGGAAGCAGGAAAUGCAGGGAAAAUGCCUCCUGGCUUUGCAGUGCAAGUUGCACAGUAAGCGGGAUGCGAGGGUCUCUCCCUCCUCCAGCUUUAGGGCAGUGUCUAUGUGGACUGAACCGAAUGCUGAGAUAUUUGGCAUUCUGCAUUCCAACUAUCUAAUGAAGUCAAUUGUCACACCAAUUAGGAUGCUUUGGUGCCAUGUGAGAGGAGCAAGGAACAAAAGCUCCAGAGGCUUUGUCUGCUUCAGACCGUUUAGGAUGGACCAAAUUCAUAUGGUACCCUGGAAGCUCAGUUCCAGAGCACAGCCGGACGUGGCACACCUCCAGUGGGAGCAGCUCAUGUGGCAUUUCAGUGGCUUAUGCCCCCAAACAGCCACUGCAACUUGUUUCCCUGAGAGAUUUAUUCAACUGCUAUCUUCUAAGGCAUACUGAUUUUUAACGUAUAUGGUAGUUUUCAUUAUCAUAAACUGUCCUUGUUCCAUACUGUUCUUUUUUUCUUUUUUAAAGCAUCUCAUUUUUUUUCAUUAAAAAAAUAUUUUUACUUUUUUGAAAUAUUCCAUUGGGAUCAAUUCACAAUUUGGUUCACC
rnacentral:lncRNA from 1 species